AGCCUACGGGAGGCAGCAGUGGGGGAUAUUGCACAAUGGGGGAAACCCUGAUGCAGCGACGCCGCGUGAGUAAAGAAGUAUUUCGGUAUGUAAAGCUCUAUCAGCAGGGAAGAAGAUGACAGUACCUAAGGAGGAAGCCCCGGCUAACUAUGUGCCAGCAGCCGCGGUAAUACAUAGGGGGCGAGCGUUAUCCGGAUUUAUUGGGUGUAAAGAGUGCGUAGACGGAGAAACAAGUUGGUUGUGAAAUCCCUCGGCUCAACUGAGGAACUGCAACCAAAACAAUUUCCCUUGAGUGU
rnacentral:rRNA from 1 species